UAGGGAAUCUUCGGCAAUGGACGAAAGUCUGACCGAGCAACGCCGCGUGAGUGAAGAAGGUUUUCGGAUCGUAAAACUCUGUUGUUAGAGAAGAACAAGGACGUUAGUAACUGAACGUCCCCUGACGGUAUCUAACCAGAUAGCCACGGCUAACUACGUGCCAGCAGCCGCGGUAAUACGUAGGUGGCAAGCGUUGUCCGGAUUUAUUGGGCGUAAAGCGAGCGCAGGCGGUUUCUUAAGUUUGAUGUGAAAGCCCCCGGCUCAACCGGGGAGAGUCAUUGGAAACUGUGAGACUUAGGUGCAGAAGAGGAGAGUGGAAUUCCAUGUGUAGCGGUGAAAUGCGUAGAUAUAUGGAGGAACACCAGUGGCGAAGGCAGAUCUCUGGUCUGUAACUGAAGCUGAGGCUCGAAAGCGUGGGGAGCAAACAGG
rnacentral:rRNA from 1 species